GCUUACGGCCAUACCACCCUGAGAACGCCCGAUCUCGUCCGAUCUCGGAAGCUAAGCAGGGUCCGGCCUGGUUAGUACUUGGAUGGGAGACAGCCUGGGAAUACCAGGUGCUGUAAGCU
rnacentral:rRNA from 1 species